rnacentral:lncRNA from 1 species
AAAAACAAUUUCAAUUAGCAAAAGAAUAAUAAUAAAAAGAAAUAAAGAAAAAUCAAAUCAACGAAAAGAAAAAAAAAACAAAUCAAUUCAAAUCUGGUGGGUCACUCAAAUUUAUUUCGGUGUCUUCUCCAUGUGGUUGGUAUUCUAGAUAUGGCUUUAAUCUUUGACCAUUAACUUUAAAUGUGACACCGUUCUUUGGGUCCUUAAUUUCAAUUGCCC